rnacentral:lncRNA from 1 species
AGCACCUAGACUUACUUUCAGCAAGGAGUCCAACACUACUGGCGGAAAUCCUGUGCCUCUAACAAGCUCAGCCUCUCUGUGGGGCGUUCUUCGGGAUCCCUCCGCAGGAGCGCCUGUCCUUUGGGAGGAAGAAGAGCCAACUGGGGUCGUUUGCCUUGGUCUCCUCUCUUCGCUACAUCCACCUAAAGAUGCAGUUGGAUCACCCACGUUCCAAUUUUCUCUGCAUAC